GAUGAACGCUGGCGGCGUGCCUAAUACAUGCAAGUCGAGCGAACAGAUGAGGAGCUUGCUCCUCUGACGUUAGCGGCGGACGGGUGAGUAACACGUGGAUAACCUACCUAUAAGACUGGGAUAACUUCGGGAAACCGGAGCUAAUACCGGAUAAUAUAUUGAACCGCAUGGUUCAAUAGUGAAAGACGGAUUUGCUGUCACUUAUAGAUGGAUCCGCGCCGCAUUAGCUAGUUGGUAAGGUAACGGCUUACCAAGGCAACGAUGCGUAGCCGACCUGAGAGGGUGAUCGGCCACACUGGAACUGAGACACGGUCCAGACUCCUACGGGAGGCAGCAGUAGGGAAUCUUCCGCAAUGGGCGAAAGCCUGACGGAGCAACGCCGCGUGAGUGAUGAAGGUCUUCGGAUCGUAAAACUCUGUUAUUAGGGAAGAACAACUGUGUAAGUAACUAUGCACGUCUUGACGGUACCUAAUCAGAAAGCCACGGCUAACUACGUG
rnacentral:rRNA from 1 species